rnacentral:rRNA from 1 species
AACGAACGCUGGCGGCAUGCCUAACACAUGCAAGUCGAACGAGACCUUCGGGUCUAGUGGCGCACGGGUGCGUAACGCGUGGGAACCUGCCCUUAGGUUCGGAAUAACUCCCCGAAAGGGGUGCUAAUACCGGAUAAUGUCUUCGGACCAAAGAUUUAUCGCCUUUGGAUGGGCCCGCGUUGGAUUAGCUAGUUGGUAGGGUAAAAGCCUACCAAGGCGACGAUCCAUAGCUGGUCUGAGAGGAUGAUCAGCCACACUGGGACUGAGACACGGCCCAGACUCCUACGGGAGGCAGCAGUGGGGAAUAUUGGACAAAGGGCGAAAGCCUGAUCCAGCAAUGCCGCGUGAGUGAUGAAGGCCUUAGGGUUGUAAAGCUCUUUUACCCGGGAUGAUAAUGACAGUACCGGGAGAAUAAGCGCCGGCUAACUCCGUG